ACGAACGCUGGCGGCGUGCUUAACACAUGCAAGUCGAACGGAAAGGCCCUGCUUUUGCGGGGUGCUCGAGUGGCGAACGGGUGAGUAACACGUGAGUAACCUGCCCUUGACUUUGGGAUAACUUCAGGAAACUGGGGCUAAUACCGGAUAGGAGCUCCUGCUGCAUGGUGGGGGUUGGAAAGUUUCGGCGGUUGGGGAUGGACUCGCGGCUUAUCAGCUUGUUGGUGGGGUAGUGGCUUACCAAGGCUUUGACGGGUAGCCGGCCUGAGAGGGUGACCGGCCACAUUGGGACUGAGAUACGGCCCAGACUCCUACGGGAGGCAGCAGUGGGGAAUAUUGCACAAUGGGCGGAAGCCUGAUGCAGCAACGCCGCGUGCGGGAUGAAGGCCUUCGGGUUGUAAACCGCCUUCGCCUGUGACGAAGCGUGAGUGACGGUAAUGGGUAAAGAAGCACCGGCUAACUACGUG
rnacentral:rRNA from 1 species